rnacentral:ncRNA from 2 species
CCUUAUACCGAGGGGCGCCGGCGCACCGGCUGAGAUUCAUCUUAAAGCGGAUGGAGCACCCUUUGAACCUGAUCCGGGUCAUGCCGGUGUAGGGACGGGAGUUUCACAGCCA